rnacentral:rRNA from 1 species
GACGAACGCUGGCGGCGUGCUUAACACAUGCAAGUCGAACGCCGUAGCAAUACGGAGUGGCAGACGGGUGAGUAACGCGUGGGAACCUUCCUAAUGGUACGGAAUAGCCCGGGGAAACCCGGAGUAAUACCGUAUAAGCCCGUAAGGGGAAAGAUUUAUCGCCAUUAGAUGGGCCCGCGUCGGAUUAGCUAGUUGGUAGGGUAACGGCCUACCAAGGCUACGAUCCGUAGCUGGUCUGAGAGGAUGAUCAGCCACACUGGGACUGAGACACGGCCCAGACUCCUACGGGAGGCAGCAGUAGGGAAUAUUGGACAAUGGGCGAAAGCCUGAUCCAGCCAUGCCGCGUGAGUGAUGAAGGCC